CUCCGGGAAACCGGGGCUAAUACCGGAUAACAUUUUGAACCGCAUGGUUCGAAAUUGAAAGGCGGCUUCGGCUGUCACUUAUGGAUGGACCCGCGUCGCAUUAGCUAGUUGGUGAGGUAACGGCUCACCAAGGCAACGAUGCGUAGCCGACCUGAGAGGGUGAUCGGCCACACUGGGACUGAGACACGGCCCAGACUCCUACGGGAGGCAGCAGUAGGGAAUCUUCCGCAAUGGACGAAAGUCUGACGGAGCAACGCCGCGUGAGUGAUGAAGGCUUUCGGGUCGUAAAACUCUGUUGUUAGGGAAGAACAAGUGCUAGUUGAAUAAGCUGGCACCUUGACGGUACCUAACCAGAAAGCCACGGCUAACUACGUGCCAGCAGCCGCGGUAAUACGUAGGUGGCAAGCGUUAUCCGGAAUUAUUGGGCGUAAAGCGCGCGCAGGUGGUUUCUUAAGUCUGAUGUGAAAGCCCACGGCUCAACCGUGGAGGGUCAUUGGAAACUGGGAGACUUGAGUGCAGAAGAGGAAAGUGGAAUUCCAUGUGUAGCGGUGAAAUGCGUAGAGAUAUGGAGGAACACCAGUG
rnacentral:rRNA from 1 species